CUCAGAACCCUCAGAGCCCGAGUCAAAAGAGUCUCCUUCAAACAGGUGGGCCUUCAGAAGGCCCUUCUUCUUCACUGGAGAGCUUUUAUUCAUGAGGCUGCCGACUGCAGUCCUCCCCAUGGGCUUGCCAAGAGGGGAGUGCUGAAAGGAUGUGUCCUCGGUGCCCUGGCCAGCCUCAACAUCACCUGGUUUCUUCUCCUUGAGGGAAAAAGGUUUCUUGUUGGGACUCAUUUUCUUGUGCCAAAAGAUAGACGUUUCUUCAGGCAAACCUUUUUUCCCCUUCUUCCUGGCCAGGGCUGCAGAAGCAUGGUCAAAGAAAUACACCACCGCGAGGUGUUUGUUGCGCCUGGUGUCAAUGCGCUGCACUUGAGCAAUUUUGCCAAAGUGAUUCUCCAGAAAGUUCCUGUUGUUGAGAAAGUCGGGAAUGUUCUUGCACUGGAUCGCUGUGACUUCAGAGGGAGAGAAGCCCCCAAGACUGUCUGUGCUCUCACUUCUUUGAUUCUGACGCCCAGGAGUUCCUCUU